AUUGAACGCUGGCGGCAGGCCUAACACAUGCAAGUCGAGCGGAUGAAGGGAGCUUGCUCCUGGAUUCAGCUGCGGACGGGUGAGUAAUUCCUAGGAAUCUGCCUGGUAUUUGGGGAUAACGUCCGUAAACGGGCGCUAAUACCGCAUACGUCCUUAGGUAGAAAGUGGGGGAUCUUCGGACCUCACGCUAUCAGAUGAGCCUAGGUCGGAUUAGCUAGUUGGUGGGGUAAAGGCCUACCAAGGCGACGAUCCGUAACUGGUCUGAGAGGAUGAUCAGUCACACUGGAACUGAGACACGGUCCAGACUCCUACGGGAGGCAGCAGUGGGGAAUAUUGGACAAUGGGCGAAAGCCUGAUCCAGCCAUGCCGCGUGUGUGAAGAAGGUCUUCGGAUUGUAAAGCACUUUAAGUUGGGAGGAAGGGCAGUAAGUUAAUCCCUUGCUGUUUUGACGUUACCAACAGAAUAAGCACCGGCUAACUUCGUG
rnacentral:rRNA from 1 species